AACGCGACGUGACCCAGCGAGCAACGCGAGGUCGGGCCGGAAAGAGCCGAGCGAGCUCGGAAAACUCCGGGCUAGGGCCGAAGGUGCGCCGAGAGCUAAGAGUGGAGUCGCUGCGAAUCAUCUGAGAAGACCAUAUGAAAUGACAAAUCAUCGGGCCUCAGAUUCUGCCUGCCUGUGAUGAUGCCCAGGACUUGAUGGUAGAUUAUCAUAGUCUUUAACAUUAGGUGGAAGCCAGAAGUCUUACAUUUAGGAGAAUGCACUCUACAGUGUGUCUCAAUGUUGCUCCUAAAAUGGAAACUUUCCAGACUUUCUGGACAGUGAGACAUAUCUGCUCCUGGCAGCACCAAUUUACUUCAGAGAGGAGGAUGGACAUUGAAGAUACUCCAUUUGGAAGUUUAUCCUCUUCUUAACAAAAAUAACAUUUUAGGCCAGAAGCUGUUCUUGCCUGGACUGCUUGAUCGACUGGACAUGCAGGACCCAUAAAAAGGUGACCACUGAACUUUGCUUGGCAAAAUGGUCCUUCAGGUUCCUGCUUCGCAGAGGAAACUGCCAGACAUUCUACAGGACACAGAGAAAAGUGAUUGAGAGACUCUCGGCCUGUGGGCUGAUGACAGAUGACCCAACUUUACAGAGCAAAUUUGGAUGACUGUCCAGGCUGCCAGCUGACUCUGUCUACUCUCACAAGACUCCCGAAAGUUGCUUGUGUCCUUCUCCUGUUUCUCAGUAUUCACUCUACGAUAUGCAACUGCCAGUCAUAAAUAGAACUGAACAGAGACAGCGUCAUCAGCAUUACAGUCACUUCAUAAGGUAACUUAAGAAGGCUGGGAAUUGACUUCAGUGUGGUGCGGAAAUCAUGAUUAUUUUAAAACAAGUUUCUUUUCAUUUUAUAUUUAUUUAUUGGAGAUGGGAAGAGAGAGAGAGAGACAGAGAGAGAGAGAGAGAGAGAGAGAGAGAGAGAGAGAGAAUGAGAAUAAGCAUGUGGUUUUUUUUGUGUGUACAUGUGUGCAUUUCUGUGCACCCCACACACACGUGCAAGUGUGCCUGUGUGUCUGUGUUCAUGUGUUGUGGUGUUCAGGUAGAGGUCAGAGGACAACUUGUAGGGAGCUGGUUCUCUCCUUAUAUCAGGUCUUGGUGGCAACUGUCUUUAUCCCUUGAACCAUUUCACUGGCCUCAAAAUCAUAAUCCUUUUCUUUUCAGUGUGUUUGCAUGUGUACAUGUUUUUGUUUGUACAGCCAUUAGCACAAAGGAAGAGGUCAUGGGAACACAUUCAGUAUCCUGUUCUAUUAUUUUACACAUAUUCCUUUGAGACAAGUGCUCUCAUCAAGCCUGAAUCUGGAUUGCUGGUCAGCAAUCCCCAGAGGUCCUCCUAUCUUUGCAGUUACAGGUGGGUAACACUCUGCUUGGCUGUUUACAUGGGUGCUGGGGAUUGACAUUCAGAUCCUCAGGCUUGAGCAGUAAACUCUCUUAUUCACUGAGCGAUUUCCCCAUCACUGACAUCAUUGGAAAGUAGUUGUAUUUAUUUGUAUCAAAGCAUAUUAAAGGUUUCAAAUGGAUAUUGUGUUCAGUUGCAUGUUUUAUGAGAUCGAAUAAAUGGCUUAGAAGAAAUUUCAUAGGGUAUGCAGAGAAAUCUAUCCAAUACACACAUUCAAAAUUUUAAUCAGAAUUAUUUGAUAGUUUCAAUUUAUUUAAAUAUAAGAAACACAAACUACCAUAUCAACACAUUAUAUAUACUAUUAGUGCAUAAAAGAAGCUUAUUAAAUUUAAUACGUUAAUAAAAUAACAUUUUAAAAUAUGACUUUAAAUUUAUAGUAUACAAAAUGCAUUUACCCUGAAAGAAUACUGGUUUAUUUUAAAUAUUUUAGUGCCAUUAAAAUUGCAUACUAGGUGAUGUAGCCAUUUAAAGAUUUGUUUUUCUGUUCAUUUCCUUAUAUUUUAAAAUAGUGUUUCUGUUUAUGAGUUCAAUGGCUGUCACAGUUCAAAUAUAUUUCACAAAGUUACAGAGAUUUAAUUAGAAACAGCAUAUUACGUUUGAGUUUCUUAAAUCAUGCAUAUUUUAAUCCCAGCCAGUAAUUAUAGGUAUAUUUCUUCUUUUAUUUUAUUUCAGAUUAUAAUAUACUCAGACCCUUUCUCUCUCCCUUUUCUUCAAGCCCUCUUGUAUAUCCCUUCUUCCUUGCUUUCAAAUUCAUGGCCCCUUUUUAUUUUAUUGUUACUUCACAAAUAUAUACAUACAUACAUAUAUAUAUAUAUAUAACAUAUAUAUGGUUACUAAAUGCAACUUUCUCAGUCUGUAUAAUGUUUCUUGUAUGUAUGUUUUCAUUUAAUGAUUUCAUAUAACAUUUCAGUUAUAUUUGGCAAUUAAUUACAUAGUUACAAUUUGCACUUUUACAAAUGAGUUGACAUAUUUUGAGUUUUCUUAUAUAGAGAAGUUUUGAAAUAUGCUUGAAAUACAGUUUCUAAUGCUGUUUUGUUUAUGUGACAGUUUGCAUUAAAUUGUUAGCAUAUAUUCAUUAUACAAAGGGAUGGGUUUCAUGUUGUCAUGUUAAUUCACAGAUAUUUUGCAUAUCCACCCAAUAACCCUUUCCUGUCCACCUUCCUCCUAAAUAACCCCUAUCCGGAUUCAUGUCAUCUUUCUAUCUUUCUGUUUGUUUGUCUACCUACAUAUUUUUGUGUGUAUGCGUAAUAUUAGAUUCCAUGUCUGAGAGAAUAUAUGGAACAUUUUUCUCUCUGAGGCUUACACUUUUACUUUUUGUAAUCUACACACUUUUUUCUUUUUGUUUUUUCAAGAUAGGGUUUCUCUGUAUAGUUUUGAUACCUGUCCUGGAUCUUGCUCUGUAGCCCAGGCUGGCCUCGAACGCACAGAGAUCUGCCUGGCUCUGCCUCCCAAGUGCUGGGAUUAAAGGCGCGUGCCACCACGGCCAGCCUACACACUUUUUUUUUUUUUUUUUAUUCAGGACUAAAUCACAUAAGGAUAGAAUUGUUUCAAACAUUUGUUUGUAAACUCUAAACAAGGAGACUUUGUUCACAAUAGUAAAUUUGUCAAUUGCCAGUCAGUUGUCAAUGUUGGAAUUAAUUGGGGGUAUUUUGUAAUUGUAUGUUUGCAUUUUUAAAAUGUAUCAAUGUUCUAUUGACAUUAAAUGAUAGUUCUUCAAAUUUGGAAAGAUUAUUUUUGUAAAAGACAAAUAGUGCAACUAUCUCAUAUAAAUUCACCAUCAAUAAAAAAUAAUAUUAAGUGAAUUGCAUUGUAUCAAAAUAGCCUUAAAGUGCAAUCAUAUAGCCUUUCUGUUUCAUGGCUUCUUCUCUACAUAAUACAAAACAGACAUAGAGACCUAAUGUAAUAGUAUAUCUGUAUAUUGAAUAUUGGUAAAAAUUAAUUACUUUUGAUACUAAGUUGCUAAAUAUAGUCACUGGUAAGUAAUAAAUUGCAUUGCGUUUCCUUGAAGCAGCACCGAUUUUUGUUUUGUUUAUUUGUUUAUUCAGUAAAGAUCUCGUGUACCCAAAGCUCACCUCAAAUUCACUAUGUGGCUGAAGAUAAUCUUUAAAUUCUAAUCUUCCUGCCUCAAUUUCACAAGUCUUGUGAUUACAGCUGUGCAUCACCACUACUAGUUUUAUCAUGCUGAGGAUGGAAUUCGAAGCUUGCUGAAUGCCAAGGAAAUACUCUACAAACUGAAUUACAUGCCAGCCCAGGAAUUCUUAUAAAUUCUUGUUAUGAUUCCCAUAACUUCUAUAAGUUAACUAAUAUCACUAGGUACAGUACAAAUUGUUCACUUAAAUUUGGAUUUCAAAUAAGCACUGAUUAAUUUUGUAGUGCAUAUAUGUUCCAAAUAUUGAAUUGGAUGUAUUAAUACUAAAAAUCUGUAUUCCUAGAAAUCUGGAGUCUAGGUCAGAGAAUUACUGACUUUGAGGUUAUGCUGGACUACACACUGAGACCUUGUUUCCAAAAGAAAAUAACCCAAAUGAAAGUGAGUUUAAAAUAAAAUACCCACAAGAUGGUGUAACAUCUAUAACAUUAUAAUAUUUUUUCUGACACAUAUUUGAGAAUAUGAAUACUCUUGAGAUAUUGCUGGUGGAAAUGUGAAUAUCAUAAACCUUGGUGGGGGAGCAACAUGACCGUGUACUGUAGUUACAAAUGCAUAUAAUCUUCAGUAAAGCUAUUUCUAGGAAUUUAAUCAAUUAGGUAGAAUGUCCAGUAGGAAAUACAUUAUUUGAAAGGGUACUGAUUUCAGAACUCUUCAUAAGAGAACAAUAAUGGGUUAAAAGUGAAUAUACUUAAAAGGUAAGAUAUAUUACAGUACUAUGAUAACUAUCACGCAACUAUUUAAAAUACGUGUUUGAUCUGUGACAGUUGACAGUUAUAGGCUUUUGAGUAAGAACAGCAAUAUAGUAAAUAUGUGCAUAAAAUUAUACCAGUUUGAUACGAAACUGUUCAAAGCCUUAUGUGAACACAUGCAUAUGUGAGAAGAAGUAUGAAAAAAAAUCCUUUUCUCUCUUUUUAAUUCUUAUUUAGUUUGGACUUAUUCUACUCAUCUUACUAAAAUUUCCAGAAAAAAAAGAUACCCACCUAGCACUCUACUGUCAUUGAAUUGAUGAAACAAUUCUAUAACUGCCUAACUACUUCCCAUUCUUGACAAUUGGGAUUGAAUUUGUGUUAUUGCUUAGUAUAUGAUUCUAUGGAUGUUUUGCCAUUUGCAGCCAAAUGCAUUACCAAUUUAUCCAGAUUUAUACUUGCAAUGUGUUUGUGGGUAAUGGGCAAAGGGGGGCUGAUAGGAGGAAGGAAACAGAAUGGGAAAAUAAUGAUGCAAGAUGAAAACACAAGUAAGUACACAGUACCCCAAAAUUUCACACAUAUAAUAUGAUCAUAUUUUAUGUUUAUCAACUAUAUAUAUGAUCUACAUGUAGAGCUACAACUUUAAGCUGAACUAAAUUGAAGUAACAACCUAAGUGCUUAAUUAGAUUGUAUUGAUCUCAAGACAGCAUGUGGACUAUCAUCUAUUUUUGAAUACUUAGUAAUAAUUCAAGUACUAUGCCAAUUCAUUCAUAUAAUGUGUUUUUAUUUAUUUACUUUUUCAUUGUUUCAACAGGCUCUUGCUAGGUAUCUCAGGCUAACUUCAAAAUGACUAGGUAGUCCACAGUGGCCUCACAUUCAUAGUCCUUUCCUAGCCUCCCAAGUGCUUGGAUUACAGUUGUGCAGCACCAUAGUAACUGUUUUAUUAAAUAUUCACCACGACAAAUGAAGGCAUGGACUUUUUCUCCCGUUAAAAAUAUUACUAAGUAGAUACAAAAACUCGAAGACAACUAGCAGAUUCAUAUAGCUAGUAUAUAAAACACCUGGAAUUAAAAUAUACCCUGGCUUGCUGGGAAUAGUGUGCAAGCCUUUAAUCUCAGCAUUUGGAUGACACAAGCAGAGAGGCAGGAAGUUCUCUGUAAGUUCAAGGACAGUGUGGUCUACAAAGUAAGACCCUGUCUCUCUCUCUCUCUCUCUCUCUCUCUCUCUCUCUCUCUCUCUCUCUCUCUCUCUCUCUCUCUCUCUCUCUCUCUCACACACACACACACACACACACACACACACACACACACACACUUAUACACACUUGUGCAUUGUAGACAAAUUUCUAAGUGGUCUUAUUAAAUAAAAAACACGGAGCCAAAUAUAGGCGUGAAAGCCUUAGGAAUCAGGGAAAUAGGAAUAGACACCAGCUAACCUUACCUCACCACGCUGAAGCUUCCAAACUGUGCUACUUCCUGUCUACCCACACCUUUAUUGCCUUGCUAUUCUGCCCUCUCAUUGGCUCUUAGCCCAGCUACCUCACUUCCUUGUCACUGCCUGUCUGUACAGACCUCCAGGUCUCUAUGGUUGGUACUGGGAUUAAAGGCGUAUGUCACCAUGCUUGGUGCUGUUCCCUAGUGGCCUUGAACACACAGAGAUCCUGCCUGCCAAGUGAUCAGAUUAAUGGUGUGGGCUACCGAUGCCUGACUUCUAUGUUUACUUAAAAUGGCUUGCUAUUUCCUCUGAUCUCCAGGUAAACUUUAUUAGCAUACAAAUAAAAUAUCACCACAUUUUAGCACAAAUAAAAUAUUACCACAAUGCAUACACACGUAUAAGCAACACUGCUGUUUUCACUUAUAAAAUAAAUCAUAUAAUAAGGUUUACUUAAUUUACUUGAUGAGUAAGAGUUGCUUUCAUUUUUAAGGUUUAAUAUAGCAAUGAAAUACUAAAAGUACAGUUCAGCUGUGGAGAAAUAGUCAUCUUAUAAAGUUAGUUAAUAUACAUUGAACUUUUUGUCCAAUUGCUUGGCUCUACUUGAGAGUUUUCAUGGACAUAGCAAAUAGGUCUCAAUUACAGCAUAAUUUAAAUUCAAAUAAGAAGAAAUUGAAAAUAUUUAACAUUAUUUCCCUCAUAUCGUACUAAAAUUAAAGGACCAAUAUUCAUCAGCAAAGGGUCCACCCAUUCCUUUCUAAUUAAUCCUUCUUAUUUUAUUUUAUUUUAUUUUACAAUACAAUUCAGUUCUACAUAUCAGCCACGGAUUCCCUUGUUCUCCCCACUCCCACCCUCCUCACCUUCCCCCCAGCCCACCCCCCAUUCCCACCUCCUCCAGGGAA